rnacentral:lncRNA from 1 species
AGGACAGGAAAUAAAGUAGGAGUCUAUGGGGUAGCCCUGCUCUGCAGGAGCAGUCAGGGAACUAUAAUACCACCAGAGAUAUAACACUGCCUGUUCAAUAAAACUGUUUUCUUCUACCUCUGGCAAAGGGAGAAGCCAAUUCUGCUGAACUUAAAAAGGGAUACCUAAAAGGCCCGGUUAGAAUUAUCAGGAAACAAAUGUGGUAUGAUCUGAUCUCAGCUGGAGUAGGCAAAGAAAAAAUAGAUCAGCAACCCAAUGCCAGAAUAGUGGGCCUUUGAAAAACCUGAUUCUUGAUCAACAGCUUAGAC